ensembl:lncRNA
GAGGAGCCGCCCUGGAUGGACAGAGGGACGGAGGGACGAGCAUCCAGUCGGUUGUGUCCGGCUGCCCGCAGCAGUCUCCGACACCUGCUGCGGCCCGCCCGCUGCCCGUCUGCCUGGCAUCCCUCGAUCCCGUGAAUUAAACAGAGCGGUUCGGAGAGGGCCAAGGAUACGUCUGAGGUCACCAGUGGGAAGCAGCAGCUUGGGUCCUUGAACCUGAAUCCUGACUUGAGGUCCAGCACCCAGCACCAGGCACCCCGGGACCUGGAGCAAUAUCACAGCAGGGACUGUGUCUUCGGGCUGCAACCCACCCACCCCUUGAGAGGCCUGGAGGCUUGGGGCGGGGGAUCCCAACAGCCCUGGUCCCUUGUCUGGAAUCACAGAAGCUGGAACCCUGGGGAGAUUGUGCUCAGAUGCUCCAUUCAACAAUUUGUCCAUUUCACGCUGUCCCAGCAUUUAUCGUGACAUGAAACAGAGCAAAGUGACUGCUCAUGGAGCAUGCACACAGCACCAGCAGCGUGCCCUCAGAUGUAGCCUCAGGGCUGGGCUGGGGCCUUUGGGUCAUGGCGAGACCGGAAAAAUCAGUCGACUUGGUGAUGGAUGGGGCGUGACGGAGGCCCCCAGGUUUGCCCUCCAGAAACCACAGUCCAGGAGGAGAGACAAAUCAGUAAAGAAUCAGCGUGCUGGAGACAGGCGGCCUGGGGUCUCAUCUAGGCUGGAAGGUUGGGGAAGGAAGGCUUCCUGGAGAAGGUGACUGUGCCCGGAGCCUCAGCAGAUGAAUAUAAGUUCACCAGGCAAAGAAAUGAAGGGAGAAGGCGGGAAAGGAGCUGGCAUUGGGGGUGAAUCUGGGAAGAAGGAAUCUGAGGCUCAGACAGGUGAGGUGACUUGCCUGAGGCUCCUUGGCCGGUGAGUGGUGGACAGAACUGCAUUGGAGACCAAAGCCCAGCAGUGGACAUCAGAACCCAGCUUGUGACCACUAAACUGGUGAUGGAGGGGGUCCAGGUUCGAUCCCUGGUCAAGGAAGCAGAUGCUAUAUGCUACAACUAAAGAUCCCGCGUGCUGCAAUGAAGAUCAAAGGUCUUGUGUGUGGCAACUAAGACUCAGUGCAGUCACAUAAUAAAUAUUUAAAAAGAAGAAAUAUACAGGGAGAAAGAGAAAUGGUUGCAAAAAUCUAAACAUUUGCUAAGAGGGUCUGUGGUAAAGACUAUGGACUUCCCUCAUAGCUCAGUUGGUAAAGAAUCUGCGGGGAGUGCAGGAGACCCGUGUUCGAUUCCUGGAUCAGGAAGAUCCCCUGGAGAAGGAAAUGGCAACCCACUCCAGUAUUCUUGCCUGGAGAAUGCCAUGGACAGAGGAGCCUGGCAGGCUACAGUCCAUGGGGUUACAUGAGUCGGACACGAUUUAGUGACUAAACCACCACCACCGUCUGUGGUAAAGAACCCACCUGCCAAUGCAGGAGAUGCAAGAGACAUGGGUUCAAUCCCUGGGUUGGGAAGAUCCCCUGGAGGAGGGCAUGGCAACCCACCCCAAUAUUCUUGCCUGGAGAAUCCCAUGGAUGGAGGAGCCUAGCUGGUCACAGUAUAUAGAGUCGAAGAAAGUCAGACACGACUGACCACGCACACACCAAGAGAGGACCCCGAGCCACCAGGCAACCACAGGCCACCUGUGGGCACUGCCAGGUGGCUGACCCCAGGACCCGCUGAAUGCCUGUCACUGCUGAAUGCCUUGGGACAUUCAGUGCAGGAGACCCAUGUUCAAUUCCUGGGUUGGGAAGAGGGGGAGGCUGCAUUUGUAGGACAUUUUGUUAAAGCAAACUGGGUAUAAAUAAGGAUUUAUGCCCACGGAUGUCUGUCGCAACUGGCCACCACCUCAGUGUUCAGCAGUAUUGGGGCUUGUUGAAAUGAAUUAUAGCACUUCCUAUGACAGAAUAUGAUGCAGCCAGUAAAUAUGACACUUAGCAAAAAAUUGUAAUUACAUAGGAAACGCUUUUGGUGUAACAUAAAAUCAGGAUAUAAAACGAUAUGUGCAUGUAUGUUAUGUCAAUAAAAAGGAAAAAGAAAAAACUAAAUGCUGUGAGCUCAACUUCAUUUAAAGACAUAUAAGGAAAAAGUGGAAAGAAAACGCCCCCAAAUUCUAACCUUAUUUAUAUCUGGCUGGUGAUUUUUAAAUUUUUAGUACUUGUUCUUUAUUGUAUUUCCAAAUUUCUACACUAAAUACUUUCAAGUUUUAAAGUUAUUUGAAAUAAAAGUGAAAACUGUAUCCUGUAUUUAAGAG